rnacentral:piRNA from 1 species
UAUAAAUGUACGCAAAGGUUUCUGGA